rnacentral:lncRNA from 1 species
GCAAGAAAUAUUAAUUAUUGGAUAUUAAUUAAGCACAGUACCACUGUAUAUUUUAAGUAUAAUACCAUUUGAUUGAUUUCAAAAAUUAAUUGUCCAAAUUUUAACAUACCAGACAAUAAGGAAGUUUGGUGUUCCAAAAUUAGAUUUCGCAACCUGUCAACCACAUCGUACUGUACUAAUCUAUUGCCCUCAUAUUGUCAAUUCUCUCAUUGUAGAUCCCAGGAGCCAGUACUACCCACAAUCCAACCAAUAGAGUGUAGGUAAAUCGGGUUCAAACUGAACUAUCAAGCGAUGGUACUGAAAUCUUCAUUUUAUAAUGUGAAAUUGUUGUAAAUAGACAUUUCUCACUUCCCGUAAUUUUUAACAUUAAGUCUACAUUGUUUUCAACAGAACGGUCGAUGUAUGAAAACAAUACAGCAUACUAACGUUGAUGUGCGAAAGAAAUCAGUGUACGACACGAUCUGCAGAUUGUUACUAAAUUAGCAACCAGAAUACAGUUCCACAGUUAGCACGCUGGGGGCAUUAUUCAAUCCGUAGAAUUCAUAUCUGUCAAUUGUAAACAGACUGAAAAGAUUACAAAAUUCUUGGUUUUUCCAUUGAUUGUACAAAUCUUAGGUAGAACCACAUGUUUCAAUUGUAAUGAAAUGAGUAAAUUUUUUAUAAGAUAUUUCUGCAAGUAUGUCUCAUUUGUAAACUAAGAAUAUGUCCACACAUCACAGCCCAUAGAUUGAUCACAGAAAGGACGACCAACAAUCAGUCUGAUGGUUACAGCUUGCUGCUCUCGUGACAUAUGACUGGCAGCUUGUUAUGGUUGUUAGUUAAAGAAACUAUAAGAAUAUUUACCCUAUAAUAUUCAGGACAAAAUAAUCCUGACGAAAAAUGAUCUCGUAGGUCAUCACCUCUCAAAAAUGGGACAGACCCUCAAAUAGCUGUAAAGAACUGGGUGCUUGACGCCUGUAAUCUCCUGUGUCCAAGGACCGCAUCGGAACGCUUGGUGUCGAUUUAGUCGACCUCCUCGAUCUUGGGGCCAGCACCGGAU